CCUACGGGUGGCAGCAGUGGGGAAUAUUGGACAAUGGGGGGAACCCUGAUCCAGCCAUGCCGCGUGUGUGAAGAAGGCCCUCGGGUUGUAAAGCACUUUCAGUGAGGAAGAACGCCUGGUGGUUAAUACCCAUCAGGAAAGACAUCACUCACAGAAGAAGCACCGGCUAACUCCGUGCCAGCAGCCGCGGUAAUACGGAGGGUGCAAGCGUUAAUCGGAAUUACUGGGCGUAAAGCGCGCGUAGGUGGCUUGAUAAGCCGGUUGUGAAAGCCCCGGGCUCAACCUGGGAACGGCAUCCGGAACUGUCAAGCUAGAGUGCAGGAGAGGAAGGUAGAAUUCCCGGUGUAGCGGUGAAAUGCGUAGAGAUCGGGAGGAAUACCAGUGGCGAAGGCGGCCUUCUGGACUGACACUGACACUGAGGUGCGAAAGCGUGGGUAGCAAACAGGAUUAGAUACCCUGGUAGUC
rnacentral:rRNA from 1 species